AGUGAACGCUGGCGGUAGGCCUAACACAUGCAAGUCGAACGGCAGCACAGUAAGAGCUUGCUCUUACGGGUGGCGAGUGGCGGACGGGUGAGGAAUAUAUCGGAAUCUACUUUUUCGUGGGGGAUAACGUAGGGAAACUUACGCGAAUACCGCAUACGACCUACGGGUGAAAGCAGGGGAUCUUCGGACCUUGCGCGAUUGAAUGAGCCGAUGUCGGAUUAGCUAGUUGGCGGGGUAAAGGCCCAGCAAGGCGACGAUCCGUAGCUGGUCUGAGAGGAUGAUCAGCCACACUGGAACUGAGACCCGUACCAGACUCCUACGGGAGGCAGCAGUGGGGAAUAUUGGACAAUGGGCGCAAGCCUGAUCCAGCCAUACCGCGUUGGUGAAGCAGGCCUUCGGGUUGUAAAGCCCUUUUGUUGGGCAAGAAAAGCAGCAGGUUAAUACCACGCUGUUCUGACGGUACCCAAAGAAUAAGCACCGGCUAACUUCGUG
rnacentral:rRNA from 1 species